rnacentral:rRNA from 1 species
GCAUAUCAAUAAGCGGAGGAAAAGAAACCAACAGGGAUUGCCUCAGUAACGGCGAAGUGAAGCGGCAACAGCUCAAAUUUGAAAUCUGGCKCUUGCGCCCGAGUUGUAAUUUGCAGAGGAUGCUUCUGGCAAAGUGCCUUCCGAGUUCCCUGGAACGGGACGCCAUAGAGGGUGAGAGCCCCGUACGGUCGGCCGCUGCGCCGCUGUGAAGCGCCUUCGACGAGUCGAGUAGUUUGGGAAUGCUGCUCUAAAUGGGAGGUAAACUCCUUCUAAAGCUAAAUAUUGGCCAGAGACCGAUAGCGCACAAGUAGAGUGAUCGAAAGAUGAAAAGCACUUUGAAAAGAGAGUCAAACAGCACGUGAAAUUGUUGAAAGGGAAGCGCUUGUGACCAGACUUGGGCUUGGUAGUUCAGCCGUCCUUCUGGGCGGUGCACUCUGCCGGUUCAGGCCAGCAUCAGUUGUCGGUCGGGGAGAAAGAUGGCGGGAACGUGGCUCUUCGGAGUGUUAUAGCCCGCUAUUAUGCCCUUCCGGCGACUGAGGUUAGCGUUCUGCACGGAUGCUGGCGUAAUGGUUAUCAGCGACCCGUCUUGAAACACGGACCAAGGAGUCAUCCUAAUAUGCGAGUGUUUGGGUGUCAAACCCCUACGCGGAAUGAAAGUAAACGGAGGUGAGAGCUUCGGCGCAUCAUCGACCGAUCCUGAUGUUUUCGGAUGGAUUUGAGUAAGAGCAUAUUGGGCUGGACCCGAAAGAAGGUGAACUAUGCUUGGAUAGGGCAAAGCCAGAGGAAACUCUGGUGGAGGCUCGCAGCGGUUCUGACGUGCAAAUCGAUCGUCAAAUCUGAGCAUGGGGGCGAAAGACUAAUCGAACCUUCUAGUAGCUGGUUUCCGCGA